rnacentral:rRNA from 1 species
CGGGACACGUGGUAUCCUGUCUGAAUAUGGGGGGACCAUCCUCCAAGGCUAAAUACUCCUGACUGACCGAUAGUGAACCAGUACCGUGAGGGAAAGGCGAAAAGAACCCCGGCGAGGGGAGUGAAAAAGAACCUGAAACCGUGUACGUACAAGCAGUGGGAGCACGCUUAGGCGUGUGACUGCGUACCUUUUGUAUAAUGGGUCAGCGACUUAUAUUCUGUAGCAAGGUUAACCGAAUAGGGGAGCCGAAGGGAAACCGAGUCUUAACUGGGCGUUAAGUUGCAGGGUAUAGACCCGAAACCCGGUGAUCUAGCCAUGGGCAGGUUGAAGGUUGGGUAACACUAACUGGAGGACCGAACCGACUAAUGUUGAAAAAUUAGCGGAUGACUUGUGGCUGGGGGUGAAAGGCCAAUCAAACCGGGAGAUAGCUGGUUCUCCCCGAAAGCUAUUUAGGUAGCGCCUCGUGAAUUCAUCUCCGGGGGUAGAGCACUGUUUCGGCAAGGGGGUCAUCCCGACUUACCAACCCGAUGCAAACUGCGAAUACCGGAGAAUGUUAUCACGGGAGACACACGGCGGGUGCUAACGUCCGUCGUGAAGAGG